GACGAAGGUGGCGAGCGUUGUUCGGAAUCACUGGGCUUAAAGAGCACGUAGGCGGCUUAUCAAGCGUUUUGUGAAAUCCCUCGGCUCAACCGAGGAAUUGCUUGGCGAACUGAUAGGCUUGAGGCAGGCAGGGGCAAGUGGAACUCUUGGUGGAGCGGUGGAAUGCGUAGAUAUCAAGAGGAACGCCAGAGGCGAAGGCGACUUGCUGGGCCUGUCCUGACGCUCAGGUGCGAAAGCCAGGGGAGCGAACGGGAUUAGAUACCCCCGUA
rnacentral:rRNA from 1 species